AGCGUACACGGUGGAUGCCCUGGCAGUCAGAGGCGAUGAAGGACGUGCUAAUCUGCGAUAAGCGUCGGUAAGGUGAUAUGAACCGUUAUAACCGGCGAUUUCCGAAUGGGGAAACCCAGUGUGUUUCGACACACUAUCAUUAACUGAAUCCAUAGGUUAAUGAGGCGAACCGGGGGAACUGAAACAUCUAAGUACCCCGAGGAAAAGAAAUCAACCGAGAUUCCCCCAGUAGCGGCGAGCGAACGGGGAGCAGCCCAGAGCCUGAAUCAGUGUGUGUGUUAGUGGAAGCGUCUGGAAAGGCGCGCGAUACAGGGUGACAGCCCCGUACACAAAAAUGCACAUGCUGUGAGCUCGAUGAGUAGGGCGGGACACGUGGUAUCCUGUCUGAAUAUGGGGGGACCAUCCUCCAAGGCUAAAUACUCCUGACUGACCGAUAGUGAACCAGUACCGUGAGGGAAAGGCGAAAAGAACCCCGGCGAGGGGAGUGAAAAAGAACCUGAAACCGUGUACGUACAAGCAGUGGGAGCACGCUUAGGCGUGUGACUGCGUACCUUUUGUAUAAUGGGUCAGCGACUUAUAUUCUGUAGCAAGGUUAACCGAAUAGGGGAGCCGAAGGGAAACCGAGUCUUAACUGGGCGUUAAGUUGCAGGGUAUAGACCCGAAACCCGGUGAUCUAGCCAUGGGCAGGUUGAAGGUUGGGUAACACUAACUGGAGGACCGAACCGACUAAUGUUGAAAAAUUAGCGGAUGACUUGUGGCUGGGGGUGAAAGGCCAAUCAAACCGGGAGAUAGCUGGUUCUCCCCGAAAGCUAUUUAGGUAGCGCCUCGUGAAUUCAUCUCCGGGGGUAGAGCACUGUUUCGGCAAGGGGGUCAUCCCGACUUACCAACCCGAUGCAAACUGCGAAUACCGGAGAAUGUUAUCACGGGAGACACACGGCGGGUGCUAACGUCCGUCGUGAAGAGGGAAACAACCCAGACCGCCAGCUAAGGUCCCAAAGUCAUGGUUAAGUGGGAAACGAUGUGGGAAGGCCCAGACAGCCAGGAUGUUGGCUUAGAAGCAGCCAUCAUUUAAAGAAAGCGUAAUAGCUCACUGGUCGAGUCGGCCUGCGCGGAAGAUGUAACGGGGCUAAACCAUGCACCGAAGCUGCGGCAGCGACACUAUGUGUUGUUGGGUAGGGGAGCGUUCUGUAAGCCUGUGAAGGUGUGCUGUGAGGCAUGCUGGAGGUAUCAGAAGUGCGAAUGCUGACAUAAGUAACGAUAAAGCGGGUGAAAAGCCCGCUCGCCGGAAGACCAAGGGUUCCUGUCCAACGUUAAUCGGGGCAGGGUGAGUCGACCCCUAAGGCGAGGCCGAAAGGCGUAGUCGAUGGGAAACAGGUUAAUAUUCCUGUACUUGGUGUUACUGCGAAGGGGGGACGGAGAAGGCUAUGUUGGCCGGGCGACGGUUGUCCCGGUUUAAGCGUGUAGGCUGGUUUUCCAGGCAAAUCCGGAAAAUCAAGGCUGAGGCGUGAUGACGAGGCACUACGGUGCUGAAGCAACAAAUGCCCUGCUUCCAGGAAAAGCCUCUAAGCAUCAGGUAACAUCAAAUCGUACCCCAAACCGACACAGGUGGUCAGGUAGAGAAUACCAAGGCGCUUGAGAGAACUCGGGUGAAGGAACUAGGCAAAAUGGUGCCGUAACUUCGGGAGAAGGCACGCUGAUAUGUAGGUGAAGUCCCUCGCGGAUGGAGCUGAAAUCAGUCGAAGAUACCAGCUGGCUGCAACUGUUUAUUAAAAACACAGCACUGUGCAAACACGAAAGUGGACGUAUACGGUGUGACGCCUGCCCGGUGCCGGAAGGUUAAUUGAUGGGGUUAGCGCAAGCGAAGCUCUUGAUCGAAGCCCCGGUAAACGGCGGCCGUAACUAUAACGGUCCUAAGGUAGCGAAAUUCCUUGUCGGGUAAGUUCCGACCUGCACGAAUGGCGUAAUGAUGGCCAGGCUGUCUCCACCCGAGACUCAGUGAAAUUGAACUCGCUGUGAAGAUGCAGUGUACCCGCGGCAAGACGGAAAGACCCCGUGAACCUUUACUAUAGCUUGACACUGAACAUUGAGCCUUGAUGUGUAGGAUAGGUGGGAGGCUUUGAAGUGUGGACGCCAGUCUGCAUGGAGCCGACCUUGAAAUACCACCCUUUAAUGUUUGAUGUUCUAACGUUGACCCGUAAUCCGGGUUGCGGACAGUGUCUGGUGGGUAGUUUGACUGGGGCGGUCUCCUCCUAAAGAGUAACGGAGGAGCACGAAGGUUGGCUAAUCCUGGUCGGACAUCAGGAGGUUAGUGCAAUGGCAUAAGCCAGCUUGACUGCGAGCGUGACGGCGCGAGCAGGUGCGAAAGCAGGUCAUAGUGAUCCGGUGGUUCUGAAUGGAAGGGCCAUCGCUCAACGGAUAAAAGGUACUCCGGGGAUAACAGGCUGAUACCGCCCAAGAGUUCAUAUCGACGGCGGUGUUUGGCACCUCGAUGUCGGCUCAUCACAUCCUGGGGCUGAAGUAGGUCCCAAGGGUAUGGCUGUUCGCCAUUUAAAGUGGUACGCGAGCUGGGUUUAGAACGUCGUGAGACAGUUCGGUCCCUAUCUGCCGUGGGCGCUGGAGAACUGAGGGGGGCUGCUCCUAGUACGAGAGGACCGGAGUGGACGCAUCACUGGUGUUCGGGUUGUCAUGCCAAUGGCACUGCCCGGUAGCUAAAUGCGGAAGAGAUAAGUGCUGAAAGCAUCUAAGCACGAAACUUGCCCCGAGAUGAGUUCU
rnacentral:rRNA from 1 species